GAAUGUCUUUUAGUUUUAUGGAGUAUUACGGCAAAAAAUAAAUAAAAAAUGGGUGUGACUGGAUUGAUUUAUUGAUCUGUCAAAAAAUGUGCUUGAUUUUAGAAACAACCCCAGUUCCCACCUCUGAAGUGACCAGCCUAACCAGCAGCAAAAUAGAUGAAGCAUCACCAUCGGAGGAUACCAGUAAAAAACAGGGACCAGCUGAUGAUGAUCUCAAACAGACCAGUUCAAUCUGGGGAUACGUGAUUCUGUCUUUUAUCAUCGUGAUCAUCAUUGUUUUGAGUCUUAUCCUCUAUUUUAUCAGAAGAGCAUCCAGGUCUUACUCAUUUGAUCGUCCAACUCCUAUGAACAACGGAAAUGAGCCUAUUGGGACCUUUGAACAGGUCUACCUCGACGACUUUGACCGACCAGACCUUAAAGACCUUAAAGAUUUGAUCACCGAUGACACUUCUUCCCUUCCAGUGGCCAACGGUACAAGUCCAAUGUCUGAGGAGAAUGAUUCAGGUGGAGAAAAUGCUCCUCAGCAACAAGCUGAUGAUAAAAGUGUGGGGAGUACAUCCACUAGUGAGACCAGUCAGACUUUGGCUGACAACCAGGACGAAAAGAACCCCAGCCCUCCUGACCAAACCAACCUGUUCUUGGAAGCAGCUGGAGAACAGGAGAACGAAAACAACAACAAUCCAUCCAUUUGCUCCAGUGACCCUUUCGUUGAGAUAAAUCUGGACGAGCCGGCGUGGCGUGACCAGCUCCUCUCACCGUCCCAGACCUCCUCCACCGUCACACCGUUCUCCAUCCUCUCCACCUCCCCCACCUCCACCAUCUCCUCCAUUUCGUUUUCAUAGUACUUGGAAAUUCAACUCUAGAGAAACAAGAAAAUGUUUACUAUGACAGAAGCUUGAAGAUCGGUAUAGCUAUUCCUGACGUACAACUGAACAUUUAUGUAAAUGAUGUGGAAAUUGUAGAUACAUAUGCACACAGUCAAACUUAUUGCUAAUGAAUCAAACUUGCCUGUCUAUUUUUAUCCGUUUCCCGCCUGAUUUCGACUGUUUGCCACGCAAAAAACUUACUACUCUCUUUAGCUACGGUCAAAAUGGUGCACUUCCGGACCAGCCUACCAAAAUAAAUUCCCUGAAAAAAAAAAAACCUUUUUAUGUAAAUAUAAUUAAGCAUACACUUAUAGAUUACAUCCAACUCAUUAUGUAAGCGUUUCCUGUACUUGUUAUUUUUCUAAAUAAAGAGUGAAAGAAC
rnacentral:lncRNA from 1 species